rnacentral:tRNA from 1 species
CUGGAUAGGAGGGCCUCGAU